rnacentral:lncRNA from 1 species
CAAGAUUGUCCUUCAGAAUCGUCUAAAGGAUUUCAGUACACACGUGGACCAGAAGUCCAAGCCAGAGCUCCCAGAGAAGAAUUUUCAAGACACAAAAUUGAAAUAGCUUAAACCACAAUGAAUAGAAUUAUGCCAAUGAUUUCCUAUUGUGGUGCAGUGGUUUAAGGAC